GCCUCAGCCUCCCAAAGUGCUGGUAUUACAGGCAUGAGCCAUGAUGCCCAGCGAUUUUAAGGGAUGGAUGUGACUUAUUUUGGAGCUUUCCCAGGCAGGUUCCCAGGUUCUAGGCUGUGUGGCCUGACACGAUGAUGCAUCUUGGUGAUCCGGAGAUGACCCCAGGAAACCAGGAUUGGACGUUGGCAUUGAGUCCACCCAGCUCUCCCUUUCACAGAUGGAGACGGUGAAGCACAGAGGUCUUCGAGUAUAUGCUGAUGAUGCUUAGUGGUGGUCCUCGGGAAGCGAUUCAAGCACUGGAUGUCUGGUGGACCUGUCCUGGUGACUUUGGGCUCUAUUUUCACCUUGAAAAGUGGCAUUUGAAUUGUCUUUGUUCUCAGCAGAGAGAGCUGACACCCAUUCUUCACUUGAUCUUAGCCAAAAGUCCGGGAAGCGACACUGACACCCAUUCCUCUAAGUGCCUCCUGCACUCACAGGCUGAGCGGCCCACUUCUGCAGUGACGCUGCUGUCUUCUCGUGCUUCUACCUUAUAUAUUUAAAGACCUCAGUUUUUGUGAAUUUUUUACUUGCUGGCCAGGUAGCUAUCAGGGUGACCACUCCUUCAAACAGAAAGCUGUCCAGUGAGCUUCUGACUCUACCAUGCAGAUCCAGACAAAGCACAGGAUCAGGCAACUUGGGGUCCAAAUUCUAACUCCACCACUUAAUUGCUUUGAUUUAAAGCUAGCAUGUUAAUAUGUCUGGUAUAGACAGACCCCCAGUAAACAGUAGAUGACAGAAUAAAUCUCCCUGAGGUUUAAUUUUCUUCCUCUGUAAAAUGAGGGUGGAGAGCUGUUGUAAAAUUUAGUGCUUUACCCAUGAUGCUCAAUAAAUGAUCGCUAUUAUUGACAUAGUGAGUUCUCAAUAUUUGUUGAUUGAUGGGUCAAAAACUGUCCCUCAGGUCAAAGGGUUACUUGUCCAGGAAUGGGCUGGCAGAAGUGAGACAUUCCAGCUCCCUUUGAGAGCCAGGAGGAUUGCCCAGGUCUCUGGGACCAUGCCAUGUGGUAGGUCAGGACUGGGUUUAAAUGUCCAAUUCUGCUAGGUAGUAACGUAAGAACCUACCUUACUUGAACCCGGAAGAGUAGUAGGGAUAGCUGAGGGACAGGGUGGAGGAUGUUUUUUUCUUUUU